UCAGCAAACAAUUAUUCCUCUCAAGAGUGGACACAUGGCUGUCGCCGCGAGCCUUGUGGAGAGCUGUCAACUCGGCGCCGUUCAGCAACCAGUGAUUCCUCUAAAGAGCGGACACAUGGAGGCCGUUCCAUGUCCCCUUUGACUCCGAGACAUGAGCAAGCAAGCCAAGAACACGGUGAUCACAUUUUGAAAGACGGACAGCCUUACACUCAUGGCCCGAGUACAUCAACAUCC